rnacentral:rRNA from 1 species
UACGAAGGGGGCUAGCGUUGCUCGGAAUUACUGGGCGUAAAGCGCACGUAGGCGGCUUUCUAAGUCGGGGGUGAAAUCCUGGAGCUCAACUCCAGAACUGCCUUCGAUACUGGAGAGCUUGAGUCCGGGAGAGGUGGGUGGAAUUCCUAGUGUAGAGGUGAAAUUCGUAGAUAUUAGGAAGAACACCGGUGGCGAAGGCGGCCCACUGGUCCGGUACUGACGCUGAGGUGCGAAAGCGUGGGGAGCAAACAGG